rnacentral:rRNA from 1 species
CCCUGCCAUUUGUACACACCGCCCGUCGCUCCUACCGAUUGAAUGGUCCGGUGAAGUGUUCGGAUCGCGGCGACGGGGGCGGUUCGCCGCCCCCGACGUCGCGAGAAGUCCAUUGAACCUUAUCAUUUAGAGGAAGGAGAAGUCGUAACAAGG